rnacentral:rRNA from 1 species
AGACGAACGCUGGCGGCGUGCCUAACACAUGCAAGUCGAGCGGGGACAUUUGAGUAGCAAUACGAGAGUGUUCUAGCGGCGGACGGGUGAGUAACGCGUGAGCAACCUGUCCCAAACGUGGGGGAUAACGAACCGAAAGGUUCACUAAUACCGCAUAAGACCACGAGGUCACAUGGCUUUGAGGUCAAAGGAGAAAGUCCGGUUUGGGGUGGGCUCGCGUCUGAUUAGCUAGUUGGUGGGGUAACGGCCUACCAAGGCGACGAUCAGUAGCCGACCUGAGAGGGUGAUCGGCCACAUUGGAACUGAGACACGGUCCAAACUCCUACGGGAGGCAGCAGUGGGGAAUAUUGGGCAAUGGGCGAAAGCCUGACCCAGCAACGCCGCGUGAAGGAAGAAGGUUUUCGGAUCGUAAACUUCUAUCCUUGGUGAAGAUAAUGACGGUAGCCAAGAAGGAAGCCCCGGCUAACUACGUG